UAAGUUAACUUAACCUAUGGAUGGGCAUAACCUCGGGAAACUGAGAAUAAUACCCAAUGGACCACAGUGCCUGGAAUGGCCUGUGGUUGAAAUGAUUUAUCGCCGUAGGAUAGGACUGCGGCCUAUCAGCUUGUUGGUGAGGUAAUGGCCCACCAAGGCUAUAACAGGUACGGGCUCUGAGAGGAGGGGCCCGGAGAUGGGUACUGAGACACGGACCCAGGCCCUAUGGGGCGCAGCAGGCGAGAAACCUUUGCAAUGUGCGAAAGCACGACAAGGUUAAUCCGAGUGUCUCCUGCUAAAGGAGUCUUUUGUCAGUUGUAGAAUCACUGGUGAAUAAGGGGUGGGCAAGUUCUGGUGUCAGCCGCCGCGGUAAAACCAGACACCUCGAGUGGUCAGGAGGUUUAUUGGGCCUAAAGCAUCCGUAGCAGAUUGCAUAAGGUUUACGGUUACAUCUAUGCGCUU
rnacentral:rRNA from 1 species